UACGAAGGGUGCAAGCGUUACUCGGAAUUACUGGGCGUAAAGCGUGCGUAGGUGGUUUGUUAAGUCUGUUGUGAAAGCCCCGGGCUCAACCUGGGAAUGGCAAUGGAUACUGGCAAGCUAGAGUGCGGUAGAGGGUAGUGGAAUUCCCGGUGUAGCGGUGAAAUGCGUAGAGAUCGGGAGGAACACCAGUGGCGAAGGCGGUUCUCUGGGACGGUACUGACGCUGAGACGCGAAAGCGUGGGGAGCGAACAGG
rnacentral:rRNA from 1 species